CCCUUAGAUGUUCUGGGCCGCACGCGCGCUACACUGAUGCAUUCAACGAGCCUAUCCUUGACCGACAGGUCCGGGUAAUCUUUGAAUCUGCAUCGUGACGGGGAUAGAUUAUUGCAAUUAUUAAUCUUCAACGAGGAAUGCCUAGUAGGCGCAAGUCAUCAGCUUGCGUCGAUUACGUCCCUGCCCUUUGUACACACCGCCCGUCGCUCCUACCGAUUGGGUGUGCUGGUGAAAUGUUCGGAUCGGCCGUUUGUCGCGGUUUCCGCGGCGCGUGGCUGAGAAGUUCAUUAAACCCUCCCACCUAGAGGAAGGAGAAGUCGUAACA
rnacentral:rRNA from 1 species